ACACAUGGUCACAGUUUUGACACAUGGUCAGGAUAUCUGCCUUGCCACGCCUCCUGAACCCCUCUAGGAAGGCAGCUGUGGUGACUGACGGGAGGUUCUUGCCCGUGAGACUAGAGCUCGACAGGAAUUUCAUACCAAUGAAAGCUCCCUUGCUAUAUGUUGUCCCCGCCCCAAGUGAUACUUUAUUUGCUGGGUGUGGGCAGGGCACCAGGUCCUGCCCUCUGGUGAGCGGGGCUCCUGAGCCAACCCUGCUGAGAAGCUGCACUCUCAGCCUGGCCCUCUCUGGAGAGGUGCUCUGUGGUGGCCGAUCUUCUCCAAACGACAUGAGCAGAGCAGCAGCUCAGGGAGGAGACUCCAGGCUUUCACCACAAGGUACCCAAGAAGAGAACAGGAAAGGACGAGUUGAGGCCAUUUGUUCCCCAGGAUGGUGACAGUGGCCAAGGGGUAGUAACCAGUGCUGGGGCUGUGACCUCUCCCAUGUGGCCCUUCUUGGGGUAAUGGGUGUCCAGGCACCACACCCACCGCAAACUCCGACCUACCCAUGCGACAAGCAGAGCUGAGGCUAGGCAGACAUACCACCGUGGAAAUCAGAGUGGGCACCGGGGAGGUGACUCACGGUACAAUGGGGAGGCGGUGCUGGCACAGUGCCGUCACUAAGACAUGUAGAAUGUAUGUAAUGUAUUCAAAAGUCUGUAAUUUAUUAAGUACAAGAGCAGAUUAUAAAAUAAGUAUGUGGUCCUAAUUUUGUUUAGAAAAAGUUUUAAAGGCUAAAACCCCCUGAGAUUCUUGGCAAUCUUAAGGCUGCUGUCACUUGUAAGUAGGACUCUGGAAGAUUUUAAAUUUCCUCUCUGACCCUUCAAUGUGUUUUCUAGAUUUCAUAUAAUAAGCAUAAUUGUGUUUAUAUUUCUGAAAGAACUAAUGCAUAAUAAAAUACAUCCCACUUUGGGAAACUUUUAAAACCCUUUCACACACUUCAAAAUGCAGAAUUACAAAGUCAAUAGCUUUUAUUAACAUGAUAUAAAAAAUUAGUGUGAUCUACAGAAUUCCCAGAGAGUAAUCUUAAAACAUUUUAAUAUGAUUCUUAAAAUCUUAACAGAUAUGUUCUCACCGCCACUGAAUUUUCAAUACAAAAAGUUUACAGGCGCCGUCUGCUAUAAAACUACAGCGUUGAGAUGGUGGCUAGGUAGUUCGGGCCCCUUCUCGGCCGUCCACCGCGCACCCUGUCGGUGGGUCUGCUGCUAGACUCAUGUGGAUUCUGUACAUGGUUAUAACAGGAUUAUUACAGCUCCAGCAUGUUUUAACAUACUACACCACAGUUCGAUACCAUGAGCAACAGGGCUACACCACGUAGUGCUUCCCGAUGUGAGAUAGGAGGGUAGAACCAGUUAGCUGGACUCACCGAAGCACAAGUCCAGGACAACUCUAGAAAGAUCUAGCUGUCUCUAUACGAUUCUUAAACAUCUCCAUCCUUCCAAACCCCUAAACCCCAACAACCCGAUAACAUUAAUCUUUCAUUAGUUAUAUAAAAAUAAUCUUAGAUUCAUGCUUGACAUCAAACUCUUAUAAGUAUCUAAAAGAUUUUACAUUCUCUUUUCUGACUUAAGUACAAUAUUAGAUCACUCGGAUUUCAAGUUUGGAU
rnacentral:lncRNA from 1 species